GCAGACCGGGCUAUGGUAAUAAUGCAAGUCGAGCGAACAGAUAAGGAGCUUGCUCCUUUGACGUUAGCGGCGGACGGGUGAGUAACACGUGGAUAACCUACCUAUAAGACUGGGAUAACUUCGGGAAACCGGAGCUAAUACCGGAUAACAUAUUGAACCGCAUGGUUCAAUAGUGAAAGGCGGCUUUGCUGUCACUUAUAGAUGGAUCCGCGCCGUAUUAGCUAGUUGGUAAGGUAACGGCUUACCAAGGCAACGAUACGUAGCCGACCUGAGAGGGUGAUCGGCCACACUGGAACUGAGACACGGUCCAGACUCCUACGGGAGGCAGCAGUAGGGAAUCUUCCGCAAUGGGCGAAAGCCUGACGGAGCAACGCCGCGUGAGUGAUGAAGGUCUUCGGAUCGUAAAACUCUGUUAUCAGGGAAGAACAAAUGUGUAAGUAACUGUGCACAUCUUGACGGUACCUGAUCAGAAAGCCACGGCUAACUACGUGCCAGCAGCCGCGGUAAUACGUAGGUGGCAAGCGUUAUCCGGAAUUAUUGGGCGUAAAGCGCGCGUAGGCGGUUUUUUAAGUCUGAUGUGAAAGCCCACGGCUCAACCGUGGAGGGUCAUU
rnacentral:rRNA from 1 species